CCUACGGGUGGCAGCAGUGAGGAAUAUUGGUCAAUGGACGAGAGUCUGAACCAGCCAAGUAGCGUGAAGGAUGACUGCCCUCUGGGUUGUAAACUUCUUUUAUAAAGGAAUAAAACGAGGCACGUGUGCCUUUUUGCAUGUACUUUAUGAACAAGCAUCGGCUAACUACGUGCCAGCUGCCGCGGUAAUACGUAGGAUCCGAGCGUUAUCAGGAUUUAUUGGGUUUAAAGGGAGCGUAGAUGGGUUGUUAAGUCAGUUGUGAAAGUUUGCGGAUCAACCGUAAAAUUGCAAUUGAUACUGGCAGUCUUGAGUACAGUUGAGGUAGACGGAAUUCGUGGUGUAGCGGUGAAAUGCUUAGAUAUCACGAAGAACCCCGAUUGCGAAGGCAGCUUACUAAACUGUGACUGACAUUGAUGCUCGAAAGUGUGGGGAUCAAACAGGAUUAGAUACCCUUGUAGUC
rnacentral:rRNA from 1 species